rnacentral:rRNA from 1 species
AGCAGCCGCGGUAAUUCCAGCUCCAAUAGCGUAUAUUAGAGUUGUUGACAGUUAAAAAGCUCGUAGUUGAAUUUCGGGGUUAGUAGGCUGGUCGUGCCACAGGUAUGUACUGGUCUUACUGAUUCCUCCUUCCUGAUGAACCGUAAUGCCAUUAAUUUGGUGUUGCGGGGGAAACUGGACUGUUACUUUAGAAAAAAUUAGAGUGUUUAAAGCAGGCUUAACGCUUGAAUACAUUAGCAUGGAAUAACGAAAUAGGACGAUCGAUCUUAUUUUGUUGGUUUCUAGGAUUGACGUAAUGAUUAAUAGGGAUAGUUGGGGGCAUUAGUAUUCAAUUGUCAGAGGUGAAAUUCUUGGAUUUAUUGAAGACUAACUACUGCGAAAGCAUUUGCCAAGGAUGUUUUCAUUAAUCAAGAACGAAAGUUAGGGGAUCGAAGACGAUCAGAUACCGUCGUAGUCUUAACCAUAAACUAUGCCGACUAGGGAUCGGAUGAUGUUAAUUUUUUAAUGGCUCAUUCGGCGC